GGGUCAAUGAGAUAUUUUUUGCUGUUAUGGAUCAUGCGAAGCCAAUGAUGGAGACAAUGCGAAGGACAGGCCAAUUAUACACAAGCAUAUGAAAUAUUAUCUUGUAUUAGUUGGUAAACCUCUUAUUGGAUAUAGAAUUGUUGAUAUUGGGCCAAUUCUAUGCAUCCUCAAGCCUAAAAGAAAAACGUUCAAAAGCCACCAAAGGCUGGAGGUAAUGCGUGACCAGAGAAAUGAAUUCACUGAAACCGAGACAAGCAUAGGUUUGCAUCAUG
rnacentral:misc_RNA from 1 species